GUACACCACAUCCAGGAUCGUUGCCAAGUGGAGACGAAAACACCAGACCUAAAGAAGCUAACGGUACCUCACAUCCAAACUCACAUGAUCGAUCCAGUGAUGUGAGUUCUCAUUCCAGAUCGGGGAGUGGUUAUAUGUGUGACAGCGAAAGCGAAGGAGAUAGGGUAUGUACAAAAUCUUUGUUGUUUUCAUUUUAUUUUGGGGGGAUAUUUGGG